rnacentral:tRNA from 1 species
GGAGAAGUACUCAAGAGGUCGAAGAGGCGCCCCUGCUAAGGGUGUAGGAGGUGAAUAGUCUCGCCCGGGUUCGAAUCCCGGCUUCUCCGCCA